rnacentral:rRNA from 1 species
CACGGGGGGAGCAAGCGUUGUUCGGAAUCACUGGGCGUAAAGGGCGUGUAGGCGGUCAAGUAAGUGGAAUGUGAAAUGCCCCGGCUUACCCGGGGACCUGCAUCCCAAACUGCUUGACUUGAGUACGGGAGAGGAUGAGGGAAUUCCUGGUGUAACGGUGAAAUGCGUAGAUAUCAGGAGGAACACCGGUGGCGAAGGCGCUCAUCUGGCCCGAUACUGACGCUGAGGCGCGAAAGCUAGGGUAGCAAACGGG